GACGAACGCUGGCGGCGCGCUUAAUACAUGCAAGUCGAACGAGAAGCCAGAGCUUGCUCUGGUGGAAAGUGGCGAACGGGUGAGUAACACGUGAGAAACCUGCCCCAAAGAUUGGGAUAAGCCUUGGAAACGAGGUCUAAUACCAAAUACCUUCCUUUUAACACAUGUUAAAAAGAAGAAAUGCUCCGGCGCUUUGGGAUGGUCUCGCGAUCUAUCAGCUUGUUGGUGAGGUAACGGCUCACCAAGGCAUCGACGGAUAGCUGGUCUGAGAGGAUGUCCAGCCACAUUGGAACUGAGACACGGUCCAAACUCCUACGGGAGGCAGCAGUAGGGAAUCUUGCACAAUGAGGGAAACCUUGAUGCAGCGACGCCGCGUGCGGGACGAAGGACCCGUACGGGUUAGGUUAAACCGGACCUUUCUAGUAGGGACGGAAAGUAGACGGUACCGUACAGAAGAAGA
rnacentral:rRNA from 1 species